AUUGAACGCUGGCGGCAGGCCUAACACAUGCAAGUCGAACGAGUGGCGGACGGGUGAGUAAUGUCUGGGAAACUGCCUGAUGGAGGGGGAUAACUACUGGAAACGGUAGCUAAUACCGCAUACCAUCAGAUGUGCCCAGAUGGGAUUAGAUAGUUGGUGGGGUAACGGCUCACCAAGGCGACGAUCCCUAGCUGGUCUGAGAGGAGGACCAGCCAAACUGGAACGUAGAAACGGUCCAGACUCCUACGGUAGGCAGAAGGGGGGAAUAUUGCACAAUGGGCGCAAGCCUGAUGCAGCCAUGCCGCGUGUAUGAAGAAGGCCUUCGGGUUGUAAAGUACUUUCAGCGGGGAGGCGUUACCCGCAGAAGAAGCACCGGCUAACUCCGGGCCAGCAGCCGCGGUAAUAC
rnacentral:rRNA from 1 species